GACGGGGGGGGCAAGUGUUCUUCGGAAUGACUGGGCUUAAAGGGCGCGUAGGCGGGCUGUCAAGUCUGGGGUGAAAUCCCACGGCUCAACCGUGGAACUGCCUUAGAUACUGACGGCCUCGAGGGAGAUAGGGGCGAGCGGAACUGUGAGUGGAGCGGUGAAAUGCGUUGAUAUUCACAGGAACUCCGGUGGCGAAGGCGGCUCGCUGGAUCUUUUCUGACGCUGAGGCGCGAAAGCUAGGGGAGCAAACGGG
rnacentral:rRNA from 1 species